AGAGUUUGAUCAUGGCUCAGAUUGAACGUUGGCGGCACGCCUAAUACAUGCAAGUCGAACGAGAAAGCACCUUCGGGUGUGAGUAAAGUGGCGGACGGGGGAGUAAAGCGUAGGAAUCUACCUGGGAGUGGGGGACAACUCGAGGAAACUCGAGCUAAUACCGCGUACGCCGCGUACGCUCCUCUCUCACGAGAGGAGGAAAGUGGGGGAUCUUCGGACCUCACGCUAUCAGAGGAGCCUGCGUUGGAUUAGCUUGUUGGUGAGGUAAAGGCUCACCAAGGCAACGAUCCAUAGCUGGUCUGAGAGGACGAUCAGCCACACUGGAACUGAGACACGGUCCAGACUCCUACGGGAGGCAGCAGUAGGGAAUCUUGGGCAAUGGGCGCAAGCCUGACCCAGCGAUGCCGCGUGUGUGAAGAAGGCCCUAGGGUUGUAAAGCACUUUCAGCAGCGAAGAAAUGCCUGAUGGCUAAUAUCCUCGGUGUUUGACGGUACCCCCAAAGGAAGCGCCGGCUAACUCCGUGCCAGCAGCCGCGGUAAUACGGAGGGCGCAAGCGUUGCUCGGAAUUAUUGGGCGUAAAGCGCGUGUAGGUUGCUUUGCAAGUCGGAUGUGAAAGCCCCAGGCUCAACCUGGGAAGUGCAUUCGAAACUGCAUGGCUAGAGGAGAGUAGAGGAUGGUGGAAUUCCAGGUGUAGAGGUGAAAUUCGUAGAUAUCUGGAGGAAUACCGGCGGCGAAGGCGGCCAUCUGGGCUCUCCCUGACACUGAGACGCGAAAGCGUGGGUAGCAAACAGGAUUAGAUACCCUGGUAGUCCACGCCGUAAACGAUGAGUACUAGGUGUCGCGGGUAUUGACCCCUGCGGUGCCGACGCUAACGCAUUUAGCACCCCGCCUGGGGAGUACGGUCGCAAGGCUAAACCUCAAAGGAAUUGACGGGGGCCCGCACAAGCGGUGGAGCAUGUGGUUUAAUUCGACGCAACGCGAAGAACCUUACCUGGGCUUGACAUCUGGGGGAAUCUCCCUGAAAGGGGAGGGUGCCUUCGGGAACCCCAAGACAGGUGCUGCAUGGCUGUCGUCAGCUCGUGUCGUGAGGUGUUGGGUUAAGUCCCUUAACGAGCGCAACCCCUAUCCUUAGUUGCCAUCAUUCAGUUGGGCACUCUAAGGAGACUGCCUGUGUUAAGCAGGAGGAAGGUGGGGAUGACGUCAAGUCCUCAUGGCCCCUAUGUCCAGGGCUACACACGUGCUACAAUGGCUGGUACAGAGGGUCGCGAACCCGCGAGGGGGAGGUAAUCUCUUAAAGCCAGUCCCAGUUCGGAUUGAAGUCUGCAACUCGACUUCAUGAAGUUGGAAUCGCUAGUAAUCGCAAAUCAGAAGGUUGCGGUGAAUACGUUCCCGGGCCUUGUACACACCGCCCGUCACACCACGAAAGUUAUUUGUACCAGAAGUCGCUAUACCAACUCGUAAGAGGGGAAGGCGCCCAAGGUGCGAAUGAUGAUUGGGGUGAAGUCGUAACAAGGUAACC
rnacentral:rRNA from 1 species